GCGAUGUUAGAUGGUACAAGCUGC
rnacentral:siRNA from 1 species